AUUGAACGCUGGCGGCAUGCCUUACACAUGCAAGUCGAACGGCAGCACGGGAGCAAUCCUGGUGGCGAGUGGCGAACGGGUGAGUAAAGUAUCGGAACGUGCCCAGUCGUGGGGGAUAACGUAGCGAAAGCUACGCUAAUACCGCAUACGAUCUAUGGAUGAAAGCGGGGGAUCGCUAGACCUCGCGCGAUUGGAGCGGCCGAUAUCAGAUUAGGUAGUUGGUGAGGUAAAGGCUCACCAAGCCGACGAUCUGUAGCUGGUCUGAGAGGACGACCAGCCACACUGGGACUGAGACACGGCCCAGACUCCUACGGGAGGCAGCAGUGGGGAAUUUUGGACAAUGGGCGCAAGCCUGAUCCAGCAAUGCCGCGUGCAGGAUGAAGGCCUUCGGGUUGUAAACUGCUUUUGUACGGAACGAAACGGCGAGCUCUAAUACAGUUUGCUAAUGACGGUACCGUAAGAAUAAGCACCGGCUAACUACGUGCCAGCAGCCGCCGUAA
rnacentral:rRNA from 1 species